rnacentral:tRNA from 1 species
CCUGGUGGCUCAGAUGGUAAAGCAUCUGCCUACAGUGCAGGAGACCUGGGUUCAAUCCCUGGAUCAGGA